CCUCCGUGGUGUACCGGUUGUCACGCCAGUGGCAUCGCCGGGUAGCUAUAUACGGAAGAGAUAACCGCUGAAAGCAUCUAAGCGGGAAACUCGCCUCAAGAUGAGACUUCCCGGGGGCUCGACCCCCCUGAAGGGUCGUCCUAGACCAGGACGUUGAUAGGCGGGAUGUG
rnacentral:rRNA from 1 species